rnacentral:rRNA from 1 species
GACGAACGCUGGCGGUGUGCUUAACACAUGCAAGUCGAACGGUAAGGCCCUUUCGGGGGUACACGAGUGGCGAACGGGUGAGUAACACGUGAGUAACCUGCCCUCAUCUCUGGGAUAGCAGUCGGAAACGGUUGCUAAUACUGGAUAUGAGCCUGCAAGGCAUCUUGUGGGUUGGAAAGAUUUUUUGGUUGGGGAUGGACUCGCGGCCUAUCAGCUUGUUGGUGAGGUAGUGGCUCACCAAGGCUUCGACGGGUAGCCGGCCUGAGAGGGCGACCGGCCACAUUGGGACUGAGAUACGGCCCAAACUCCUACGGGAGGCAGCAGUGGGGAAUAUUGCACAAUGGACGGAAGUCUGAUGCAGCAACGCCGCGUGCGGGAUGACGGCCUUCGGGUUGUAAACCGCUUUCAAUUGUGACGAAGCUUUUUGUGACGGUAGCAGUAGAAGAAGCACCGGCUAACUACGUG